UAGCUCCAGCCAGAUUCGAACUGGCGUUUACGGCUCCAGAGGCCGCCGUCCUUUUUUGGUUGCCUUGCAAUGUCCACUAGACGAUGGAGCU
rnacentral:tRNA from 1 species